AUGCUGAAGGCGGCGACGCCCAUGGGGGCCGAGGAGGAGGCCAUGCUCAAGGCGCUGGCCCACAAGCAGGAGGCUGCUCCGGCGCCGGCCACGGCGGGGUCAUGGGCGACGGAGGGCAUCACGGGCGCGGCGUCGGCGGCGGUGGAGCGCUACUGGGCCAGCCUCAAGAGCCAGGCCCGCGCUGCCGGCGAGUACACGACGAGCAAGGCCCACGCGGCCGGUGAGUACACGACGCUCAAGGCCCGCGCCGCCGGCGAGUACACUACGAGCAAGGCCCUCGCGGCCGGCGAGUACACUGCGAGCAAGGCCCGCGCCGCCGGCGAGUACACGACGACCAAGGCCCGCGCGGCCGGGGAGUACACGACGCUCAAGGCCCUCGCGGCCGGCGAGUACACUACGAGCAAGGCCCGCGCGGCCGGCGAGUACACGACGCUCAGGACGCGCCAGGGCGUCGCCCUCUUCGGCGAGCCCAACAUCGGCCCCAUCAAGACCAUCGUUGAUCGUUGCUAG
rnacentral:rRNA from 1 species